ACUUUCCUCGCAACCCAGCCCUACGAAACCCAUUUCUCACAUAGCAUCUUAUCUCUCUCUACGAAACCCAUGCUCACAGAGAGUCCCAUCUCUCUCCCUACGAAAACCAUUCUCACAGAGCAUCCCAUCUCUCUCUCCUCGCAGUACAACCUCUCUAAUCGUGACAACCAUUUCUCACAGAGCAUCCCUACACGAACUGCAUACAAAUUCUCUCUCUCUCUCCUCGCAGCCCAAUCUCUCUAAUCGUGGCAGCCAUUUAAAAUACCCAAGAAACCCUUUCCCUCUCUCCUUGUAGCCUAAUCUCUCUAAUCGUGGCAGCCAUUUCUCACACAAAAUCACAUAAGAAGCAGCAAUAGCAGAGCCCUCUCUCAUAGUAUAAACACCCAAAUUGCAGAAAUAGGGUUAUUUCCAAAGUCCACUGUAAGUUUCAGUCCCCUAAGAACGUGGGACAUGAGCAUUGAUGGUUAAAAAGAUGCUCCACAGAAGAUACAGUAAAUUUUCGCAAAAGAUUCAAGAGCCAUUUUUUGUUACACGCUCCUUGCUAUAGUUCAAGAGCUAUUUUUUGUUACAUGCUCCAUAGUUGUGGUGAAUGUGGUGAUUGUGUUGUAUGGAAAUGGGGCAGUAAAGAGUCAUUUGUUUUGGUAAAAUGAAGUUUUGUAAUGGACAUAUGUGGUGAAUCUAGUGAUUGUGUUGUAUGGAAAUGGGGACAGUAAAGAAUCAUUUUUGGUGAAAUGCAGUAUUGUAAUGGACAUAUCUGUGGUGAAUGUAGUGAUUGUGUUGUAUAGAAAUGAUUCAAGAGUAAAUACAGGAAUAUGUAAGCACAAUGUUUGAAGUCCCGAUGUUAAUUAUAGAAGAAUUUGCUGA